rnacentral:rRNA from 1 species
GUGCUUGCUUCAUGCAGCAGAUUGGGAUGGUUGAGUAUCUCGCCUCUCAGUUCUGCCUGUAUUCUACCCUUGUUUGUCAUAUACUAUUAUUUCCUCGGCAGGCUUGCUUGCCGAGUGAAACCAUUUAUAACCUUUUUAAUUUUCAAUCAGCGUCUGAAAAAAUUAAUAAUUACAACUUUCAACAACGGAUCUCUUGGUUCUGGCAUCGAUGAAGAACGCAGCGAAAUGCGAUAAGUAGUGUGAAUUGCAGAAUUCAGUGAAUCAUCGAAUCUUUGAACGCACAUUGCGCCCCUUGGUAUUCCAUGGGGCAUGCCUGUUCGAGCGUCAUUUGUACCUUCAAGCUUUGCUUGGUGUUGGGUGUUUGUCCCGAGGGACUCGCCUUAAAGUAAUUGGCAGCCAGUGUUUGGUUUUGAAGCGCAGCACAAGUCGCGAUUCAAGGCUACACGCCCGCUUCCACAAGCCUUUUUUCACUUUUGACCUCGGAUCAGGUAGGGAUACCCGCUGAACUUAAGCAUAUCAUAACGGGAAGGAAUAUUCAUUACCUUCUCAUUGCACAAAUUGGGAUGGUUGAGUAUCUCGCCUCU